UACGGAGGGUGCGAGCGUUGUCCGGAAUCAUUGGGCGUAAAGGGCGCGUAGGUGGCCCGGUCAGUCCGUGGUGAAAGCGCGGGGCUCAACCCCGCGUCGGCCAUGGAUACUGCUGGGCUUGAGCACUGUAGAGGCAGGCGGAAUUCCGGGUGUAGCGGUGAAAUGCGCAGAUAUCAGGAGGAACACCAAUGGCGAAGGCAGCUCGCUGGGACGUGACUGACGCUGAGACGCGAAAGCGUGGGGAGCAAACAGG
rnacentral:rRNA from 1 species